ACAAAAAUAUAUUACUCUAAUCUUAACUAAACUAAUUAAUUAAUGUAAACCUAACUAAACCAAUUGAUUAACUAAACCUAAAUCUAAACCUAAUAGAUGCUUCAGCCCCUCACAAAGCUUCAGCCACCGUCCACGAUUCAAACUCGCCACCAUCUGCUGUCCUCCUCCACCCUCGACACCAUCUGCUGUCCUCGCCACCGUCAUCACUCUC
rnacentral:lncRNA from 1 species